rnacentral:rRNA from 1 species
AUUGAACGCUGGCGGCAGGCCUAACACAUGCAAGUCGAACGAGUGGCGGACGGGUGAGUAAUGUCUGGGAAUCUGCCCGAUGGAGGGGGAUAAGUACUGGAAACGGUUGCUAAUACCGCAUACCAUCGGAUGUGCCCAUAUGGGAUUAGGUAGUAGGUGGGGUAACGGCUCACCUAGGCGACGAUCCCUAGCUGGUCUGAGAGGAUGAACAGCCACACUGGAACUGAGACACGGUCCAGACUCCUACGGGAGGCAGCAGUGGGGAAUAUUGCACAAUGGGCGCAAGCCUGAUGCAGCCAUGCCGCGUGUAUGAAGAAGGCCUUCGGUUUGUAAAGUACUUUCAGCGGGGAGGCGUUACUCGCAGAAGAAGCACCGGCUAACUCCGUGCCAGCCGCCGCGGUAAUUC